AACUUUAACUUAACCUAACAUAAUUAGAUUCACAUAAUCAAGACCAAGAUGGUUUUCUCGAUUUUAUUUCCAUUUUGGAAGAAGGAAAUAAAGAAAACAUUGAUUAUGGUGAAAAAGUUUACUGGAGAACUUGAACAAGAGGUAAAUAAAUUUUAAAUUAGUGGAAAACUGUUGAUUUGUAUGUAAAGAAGACAAAGACAAGUUUAAAUAAAGACAAGCUAGCUAAUGAAACAGAUGCAGUGUUACAGAUAUGACAAACAUCUAGAAGAUUCAAUCCUGCGUUCUUAAAGAAAAAAGCUAGUUCCAGUAGUAAGCUACCAAUAAUAAACUAGAGAAUGUAUUACAAGAAAGAACAACGCUAAUACUAAACAUACCUCAAUUGCUUCAGAUAGAAAAAGAGGACAAAAAGGUACAACACAAGCAUGCUAGAGAAAAUGAAAGGGCAGAAGAGAGACACAAAAAUUCAUUGAUUUAUUAAAUUUAAAAAUUAAAUUAUACAAAGGACAAUUAAAUAAAGAAUAAAAAAAUGAUACAUG